CCCCUAGAUGUUCUGGGCCGCACGCGCGCUACACUGAACAGUUCAACAAGUCUUAACCUUGGCCGAUAGGUCUGGGUAAUCUUUGAACGCUGUUCGUGAUUGGGAUAGACCUUUGCAAUUAUGGGUCUUCAACGAGGAAUUCCUAGUAAACGCAAGUCAUCAGCUUGCAUUGAUUACGUCCCUGCCCUUUGUACACACCGCCCGUCGCACCUACCGAUUGAAUGGUCCGGUGAAAUCUCGGAACGGCGGCUUGGUCGCUUGCGUCCGACUGCUGAAACUUGAUUAAACCAUAUCAUUUAGAGGAAGGUGAAGUCGUANCA
rnacentral:rRNA from 1 species